AGGGAAUAGAUACCCGGGUAGUCCAUGCCGUAAACGAUGUCGACUAGGUGUUGGGGAACUUGAUUCCUUAGUGCCGCAGCUAAACGCAUUAAGUCGACCGCCUGGGGAGUACGGCCGCAAGGUUAAAACCUCAAAUGAAUUGACGGGGGUCCCGCACAAGCGGUGGAGCAUGUGGUUUAAUUCGAUGCAACGCGAAGAACCUUACCUACUCUUGACAUCCAGAGAAUCCUGUAGAGAUACGGGGAGUGCCUUCGGGUAAUUCUGAGACAGGUGCUGCAUGGCUGUCGUCAGCUCGUGUCGUGAGAUGUUGGGUUAAGUCCCGCAACGAGCGCAACCCUUGUCCUUAGUUGCCAGCACGUAAUGGUGGGUAACGUCUAGGG
rnacentral:rRNA from 1 species